rnacentral:siRNA from 1 species
AUGUUGUUGCAGUUGAAUUUC